rnacentral:lncRNA from 1 species
UUUAGAGAUAAAAGUAUAUGUAUCAAAAAAGAUAAUCUUAAAAGCCUCAAUGAAUCUUUGUUCUUUUUGAGACCAGGCCGUACUCUGUAGCUGAGGCUAGUCUAGAACUGGCAGUCCUCUUGCUUCAGCAUCCUGAGCACUGGCUUUGCAGGGGUCAGGCAUUACACCCAGCAAAUGUAUGACUCAGUUUUCAUAGCUGAGGUGAGGAUGCAGUACAUGGGAAGCCAGGAAAGCUGCCUGUGAACAUAGAGGAAACGGAAUGGUUAAUGUUGCCAUGGGGUGCCCAGUUCCAUGAGUGUUCCUUGUUGACUCGCCAAAGCAAUCACUCAUUUGGGAUGUAUUGCAUUCAUAGAAGAGCCAGGUAUAGUGGUGCACACCUUGACUCCCCGCACUCAGGCAGGAGGAUCUCUGAGUUCAAGGCCAGCCUGGUCUACUUGGUGAGUUCUAAGGGAGCCAGGGAUAUGUAGAGAGACUGUCUCACCAACCACGAGACAUGAUUCAUAGAAGAACCUGAAAAGUUGCCUGGGUAAAGUGUCAACAGGAGUCACCUGCUCCUGAUGACAUAGCCUGCUAAGACUAGGUAAGUUACAGACUCAGCUCAUUGACAAAUGACAGUGGCACAAGUUCUGAUUGUUACAGAAACAUGUUAGUUGCAAUGCCAUUUUCAGACCCAGUGAGGCUCACUCCUAGUGCUUUACACGAAGUCAACAACCACUGCCAUGGAGGUGCGCUGAGGGAGGCUGUGAUGACCUCCUGGUCCUGUGUGGGGGCGGCCGUGCCGUGGGGAUGUAUAAGCAACUGCACUGAGAAUACACAGGACCUAGCACUUAGCCAUAGUCUGUCCACAUGGCAAGUCAGGGCACGGACAAGAUCCUUGGUUAUCAAGAGCAGGAAGAAGUGCACACAGGUAUGUGUUCCCAAAGCCCUGGCAGAAUGAAUACCACCUGUGCAGCUUUCAGUCGGCCUGAAGUGAUCAGUGCGGUGGGUGGGGAUGGGGAGUUGGCUCAGUCCCACAGUCUCUAAACAUUUCGUCCAAGUUUUCUUCAAAAAUCCAACUUCUCUUUGAACCAAAGUCUCUCAAUUGUGGGCUCCUGUUUUUUGUUUGUUUGUUUGUUUGUUUUUUGUUUUUUUUUGUUUUUGUUUUUUAAAAGAGUACAUUAAAAACAAGGAAAUCCUUUACUCUAAGAGGGCAAGAACCAGGGCACAAGCAGGGUACAGUUACACUCAGAGCCAAAGUUCAGUGUCAGGUGUCUGGGACUCCUAUCUUGGCUCCAGGGGUCUGAGCAGUUCCACCUCCCUGAAUUUCUACCCAUAGCACAUAGUCAGUCUAACAGGCCCAGGUGGCCUCACGCCACAGCUACUGUCCUUGGUGGUCAUCCUGUGGCACUGGCAUUUCCAAAAUGUGGGGGUGUCUGCAGCUGAGUCACACUUUCAUUGGUAGCCUCCUGUGAUCUUUUAUCAGAACUCUGACUCUGCCACAAGCUGCCAGAUAUCAACUUCUCUCCAUGACCCUUUCAAUCCUGGGCCUUCUGCUGCAACUGAGGUUGCUCCUUCACCAAAGGCCUCUUCUGGCCUCUCACAGUACAGAGCCUCUGCUGCUUCUGUGACCCUUUCAUGUCACUAAGCUCAGCUGUCAGCAUGAGAUGCAACCUUGGGCCCCUCUGCAUUAUAGCUCUGUGUGCUGACCCUGAGGAAAUAACUCAAAACAUUUCCCCUUCAUGACACUGGUCUCUUAGUCACAGAUAGUUCUUCAGCUCUCGCUGACUUGUUUGGAUUUUCCCAGCAGAGUGAGGGUUUUACUUCAGGGGCAUUGGUCUUUUGUUAAUCACAGCUGAGUCUUCAACUCCAGCUUAACAGACACAAUAGAUUCUUAAUUCAAAAUAUCACAUGAAGGCCCCGAUAACUAGCUAUGGAUUCACUCACAAACCUGGCUUCUGUUGUCUGCAUUGUUCUCAGCGAUGUCUUUACACUUCUCAGCACAGCCCAUUAGGCUUGACGGCCUCUCCAGCCCAAACACGGUCAUGUCUGUCACAGCAAUGGUCCACUCUCUUGUACCAGUGUUUUGUCUUAUUUAGGCUUACUACUGCUGCUGCUGUGGCCCAACACGGUGUAGAUGGCAGUGUUUAGAUGGAACCUGUGGUUUAUUCCUCGGAGUCACCAUUUCUCUAGGAGCGAAAAAUCUACAUUUUUUAACCACUGAACCCAAGACAUAGAGUGACUCGUGCCAUGGGGGUCUCCGGAUUGGGUGGUCAGUGUGAUGAUGCUGUGCAACUGAUAGGUGCAUGUUAGCUAAGAUGGAGCACUUUGCCAGAGGUGUGUAUAGGUGUGUGUGUUCUAAACUGUCUCAUAGAAGAAGUGACUCUUAAUGGAGUCCAAAUCGUGAGCAGACAGUAAUGUUUUAAAGAAAUAUUCUGUCAUGCCAAUUGCUGCCCUCACACAGGUUGUCCAUACUACCACCUGGCAGGUUUCACUGCAAGGCCAGGAGCCUCUUAUUUGGGAGAGCAUUAAUCCUGUGAAAUACUUAUAUAAACCCUUUGUGAAGAAAGGCCUGAAGAAAUCUAAUCUUCUCUAAUCUGAUUACUCUAAUAGAUUUAGCUGGUUCAGUAGUUGACCUACUAUUAAUUAACAAAUAGCCUUUUUAUUUUUAACUUGAACUUUAAGCUCUGAUAAAACAAUAUGAUUAAUUAGAGUGCCUGAGACUCAGCUUGAAUUGAUGACUGGGGGCGUCAAGAUUUGUUAUUCCCCCGUCGUUAUGUUUGCCCUAAGUGAGCUCUACACUCGGGGCCCAUUAGUUCUCCCAGUUUCUCUUUAGGGGCAUGGGAGCAGAGCUGAGGUGUGUUCUCUGCUUGAAUGCUUCCAAAGGCCAUUUCCCCUGGCCACACACCCACCUUUCCAGCUACAAGCUCAUUGUCUCACGAGGCUUUGCUGAAUUCAUUUUAUUAAACACGUGACUAACCAAAACAUUUCUUCUUUUCUAGGAUUGUAGAAAUCUACAGUAGACGACUACAAGGUAGGUAUAAGCUUUAUCAACAGAAAACAUUUCCCCUAUUACAAAUGUAGUAAAUGUGACGCAGAAAUCGAGCCUUCCCAGGGAGGGUCCAGAAACUUGUGUUUUAAACCUGUAGAGGAAGCCCCGCCGUGCUUUCAGGCUCCUCCCGUGUCUACGCAUGUACGGACAUUUUCAAACCAGACCCUUUACAUCGAAACAAAAGCAGGCUCAUUUGUACACACAGCCUUUCCCAUUUCCUGUUCAACACACCUUAAACAACUUCCAUACCUCACACCCCUAACCACGUGGCUAUUUCAAGAUCCAUUGUGUGAACUAAUCCCCCAGCCAACCUCUGCUCUGGGAGGCAUUUGGAUUUUGUCAGUUUCCUGGCAUUGGCAUGAUUCUGAGGACAUGUUUGCAUGUAUCGAAAAAAGCAAUCUUCCACCCAGAUGCCCCUCAACAGAGGAGUGGAUACAGAAAAUGUGGUACAUUUACACAAUGGAGUACUACUCAGCUAUU